AAACAGUUUAAUUCUUAACCAAUUUGUGUUUGUACUAAUUAUUUUUUCAACUGUUAAUAAAUCAAUGUCAACAUACAUUGGAAAUUCAAGAUUUUAUAAGUUAUUAAGUGGUUAAUACCUAUAGGUACUAUAACAUGGAAAAACUGAAAGAUAAAAUAAUUAUAAUCAAUUUUGAAUUCACUAACUAUCGACGUACACUAAGGAACUGAUUUAAUACUUAUUAUUACAGAAAUAUCAUACAAAAGCUAAAAAAAAUUGAAAACUGA